GCCAAAGAUUGCCCACCACACCCCCCUCCCUUUUCCCUUCUAUUCAGCGCCCUUGCAGAGUUGGCUGGCUGUCGUCCCAAGCUGUCUCCAGUCUGUUUUGGAGGGCUGGUCACCUUAAGAGAAGGAAUAUGCAUAGUUGGUCUAGCUGUAAAGUAGGAUCUGAGGAGUCACCCCUCAUGAUAAAGGCACUGGCCUAUACUAUCCUUUACCUCUUUGCACACAAUACUGUAUGCCAGAAUUGCCUAAUCCUCACAGCUUCCAACUACACGGUAACAUUUAUCUAGAGGCCUUAACUUAGAAAACUAACCAUAACAAACGUUCCUCUAACAUUUUACAGUGUGCAAGCCACAUUCACACACAGUGUCUCGUAGGGUCCCCACAAAGCUCUGUGAGCGAGGACUUAUCCCACUUUGUUUUUCUUAGUAUUUUUUUUAUUAUUGUGAAAUACAUCUUAACAUACAAAAGAAUGAUUAAGACAUGUAUGUACACUUUCAGUGGUAUCAAAACGGAGCACUCCUGUGUGAGUACCCAACUUUGAGAUCCCUUGGGCACCUGUCCCUAAUUCAGAUUCCCAAGAGAUAACCACUUGGCUGAGUUUUGUUUACACCAUUCUUUUGCUUUCCUGUGGUUUUACUACCUAUGUACGUAUCCCCCCAAAAUAUACUAACCAAGGGUUUAUUUUUACUACAAAUCCAGUGAUUAAGUAACAAGUUUGUAACAACUUUACAAAGGUAACCCAGUGACUUGCCUGCAUUUGUUAUUGUUAUCAUGUUCGUUUUGUAUAUUAGCUAAUGUAAGGGAUAGCAAGGAGAUAAGUAAGUUAUUAUAGGGGGAAGAAUCAUAAAGAGUGUGACUAUUGGGGCAGUACAAGAGUGAUCAGGUUAAGAUGGGGCUUUACCUAUGUUUAGAGGAAGGGGACAGGAUUCUAUGAGGACCACGGGCUUCUGAGAGGAAGGCUGUUGAAAAGUGGAGGGAGGAGUAUACUGAAAGCCAGGAUGGAACAGCGAUCCUGUUACUAGAAUAGCUUCACAUCAGCACUAGAAACCUCACUGGGGGACUGUCCAAAAGGUGGAUUCUUUUGCCCUCCGUCCCCUUUCCAGUCCACUGUGCCCAGCCACCCUGUGCCCUGUCCUCAGAGUGUCCGUCAGCCUGUAUGACUCACCUGGCUGCGUGUGUGGUGACUCAUGCUGGACUGUGAUGGGAACUGACACUCUGGGCCCUUUGCCCAGCCUCAGAUUCCCUCAGGGCCCCUAACUGCCGGAAGGAAGGUUCCCCUUUUGGCUAUUAAGAAUAGCGAGGGAAAGAAAGAAAGAAAAAAAAGAAUAAGGAGGGAAGGAUAGUCCUUACUCAAGGCACCUGCAGCUGACAGGGCAGGAGUUGGAGCUUCAAGGGGCCCAAGAGCAGAUAUGCAGCUGACUUGGGGGCUUGUCUGUCAGUGCGACAGCCCUGUGGCUCCAUACCCGCCGUCUUUCUGAGGCAGUGCCAACAGCUCAGCCCCGAAGCAACCACUGGGUAGCACUUUUCUCGGCUUUUCCAGACCUUUCAGGCGUCUCUUCCUGCUGCUCAGUGUAAAUUGCUCACCGAGUUGUCUUUAGAUCCCAGCACAGUGGUUCCUAAAGGUCCAUGGGGUAGCUCAUCACAUUAGAAAACAGCAGAGAUUUCAGACUUGGAGUUGGAAGACCGUGAUUUGAAUCUUAGAGCCAUAGCAGUUAGUAGUAGCUGCACGAACAAGUCUUUGAGCCUCAGUUUCCUCAUUUAGAACUUGAGUUUACUUAUAUGACUUCACAGAGUAAGUGUAGGGAUUACCUCUGAGAAGAGGCUUUAGAGACUUAAAACUGUUAGUAAUCUUCAAGGCUCGAGGGGUUGGCCUGGAGUGUUCUAUGAGUGUUGGCAACCCAGGCACAGCAAGUUAGUCUUUUUAAAAAAAUACAUGUUUUUCUUCAUUUCAGAGAGGAACAGAGAAGGAGGGAGGGAG